rnacentral:rRNA from 1 species
CAACAGGGAUUGCCCUAGUAACGGCGAGUGAAGCGGCAACAGCUCAAAUUUGAAAUCUGGCUCUCUUUGGGGGUCCGAGUUGUAAUUUGCAGAGGGUGCUUUGGCAUCGGCGGCGGUCUAAGUUCCUUGGAACAGGACAUCACAGAGGGUGAGAAUCCCGUACGUGGGCGCCUGCCUUUGCCGUGUAAAGCCCCUUCGACGAGUCGAGUUGUUUGGGAAUGCAGCUCUAAAUGGGAGGUAAAUUUCUUCUAAAGCUAAAUACCGGCCAGAGACCGAUAGCGCACAAGUAGAGUGAUCGAAAGAUGAAAAGUACUUUGGAAAGAGAGUCAAAUAGCACGUGAAAUUGUUGAAAGGGAAGCGCUUGCAGCCAGACUUGCCCGCAGUUGCUCACCUAGGCUUUUGCCUGGGGCACUCUUCUGCGGGCAGGCCAGCAUCAGUUUGGGCGGUUGGAUAAAGGCCUCUGUCACGUAUCUCCCUUCGGGGUGACCUUAUAGGGGAGGCGUAAUGCAACCAGCCCGGACUGAGGUCCGCGCAUCUGCUAGGAUGCUGGCGUAAUGGCUGUAAGCGGCCCGUCUUGAAACACGGACCAAGGAGUCUAACAUCUAUGCGAGUGUUUGGGUGUCAAGCCCGGGCGCGUAAUGAAAGUGAACGGAGGUGGGAACCCUUUGGGUGCACCAUCGACCGAUCCUGAUGUCUUCGGAUGGAUUUGAGUAAGAGCAUAGCUGUUGGGACCCGAAAGAUGGUGAACUAUGCUUGAAUAGGGUGAAGCCAGAGGAAACUCUGGUGGAGGCUCGCAGCGGUUCUGACGUGCAAAUCGAUCGUCAAAUUUGGGCAUAGGGGCGAAAGACUAAUCGAACCAUCUAGUAGCUGG